UACGGAGGGUGCUAGCGUUGUUCGGAAUCACUGGGCGUAAAGGGCGUGUAGGCGGUCUGUUAAGUCUGAUGUGAAAUCCCCUCGCUCAACGAGGGAACUGCGUCGGAUACUGGCAGACUUGAGUACCGGAGAGGAAGGUGGAAUUCCCGGUGUAGCGGUGAAAUGCGUAGAUAUCAGGAGGAACACCGGUGGCGAAGGCGGCAUCCUGGACCGAGAUUGACGCUGAGGCGCGAAAGCUAGGGUAGCAAACGGG
rnacentral:rRNA from 1 species